AGCGAACGCUGGCGGCAGGCCUAACACAUGCAAGUCGAACGCACCUUCGGGUGAGUGGCGGACGGGUGAGUAACACGUGGGAACGUACCUUUUGGUUCGGAAUAACGCAGGGAAACUUGUGCUAAUACCGAAUGUGCCCUUCGGGGGAAAGAUUUAUCGCCAUUAGAGCGGCCCGCGUUAGACUAGCUAGUUGGUGAGGU
rnacentral:rRNA from 1 species